rnacentral:rRNA from 1 species
UGGGGAAUAUUGCACAAUGGGCGAGAGCCUGAACCAGCCACGUCGCGUGAAGGAAGACUGACCUUACGGUUUGUAAACUUCUUUUGUAGAGGGGUAAUGGCAGAUACGUGUAUUUGCGUGAAAGUACUCUACGAAUAAGCAUCGGCUAACUCCGUGCCAGCAGCCGCGGUAAUACGGGGGAUGCGAGCGUUAUCCGGAAUUAUUGGGUUUAAAGGGUGCGCAGGUGGCUAAUCAGGUCAGUGGUGAAAAGCUAUGGCUCAACCAUGGUCUUGCCAUUGAAACCGUAUAGCUAGAGAGGAGACGAGGUAGGCGGAAUGUGUGGUGUAGCGGUGAAAUGCAUAGAUAUCACACAGAACUCCGAUUGCGAAGGCAGCUUACCAGGCUUUAUCUGACACUUAGGCACGACAGCGUGGGGAUCAAACAGG